GUGCCAGCAGCCGCGGUAAAACGUAGGGGACAAGCGUUAUCCGGAUUUACUGGGCGUAAAGCGCCCGUAGGCGGCCCGACAAGUUGGACGUGAAAGCUCCUGGCUUAACUGGGAGAGGCCGUUCAAAACUGUCGAGCUAGAGUCUGGAAGAGGAGAGCGGAAUUCCCGGUGUAGUGGUGGAAUGCGUAGAGAUCGGGAGGAACACCAGUGGCGAAAGCGGCUCUCUGGUCCAAAACUGACGCUGAGGGGCGAAAGCGUGGGGAGCGAACGGGAUUAGAAACCCGGGUAGUCC
rnacentral:rRNA from 1 species